GUUUAAAUAGCUUAAUUAGAGCAUGACGUUGAAGGUGUCAGGGUGAUAGUUUAUCUUUAAAUG
rnacentral:tRNA from 1 species